GAUCCUGUAGCUCAGCCGGUAGAGCACUUGACUUUUAAUCAAGGUGUCGCGCGUUCGAUUCGCGCCAGGAUCAC
rnacentral:tRNA from 1 species